rnacentral:ncRNA from 1 species
AUGAGGGUGACCGAGUGUGGGGAGGAAGCGUGGAGCGAAGCCGCGAGCCGAUGAACAAGAACCGGAUACAAGGCGAAGCCGACCAGGGCGAGCGGGCCAAUGGCCGCAAGUUCCUGGGUUAUGCCUUCUGGUCUUCCCGUGGCGAAGUCAAGCGC